rnacentral:snRNA from 1 species
GUGCUCAGUUCAGCAGCACAUACCCAAAAAAAUUGGAAUGAUACAGAGAUUUGCAUGGCGCCUGCGCAAGGAUAACAUGCAAAUUCAUGAAGCGUGCCAUUAUUUUU